rnacentral:sRNA from 1 species
GCCAGGUGUGGUGGUGCACACCUGUAAUCCUAGCUCCUCGGGGGGCUGAGGCAGGAGGAUUGCAGGUUUCAGGCCAGGCUGGGCAAUUUAGUGAGACUGUGUCACAA